UGUCAACAGUAGACAGACAACCGGAACCGAUCAUGUAACAUGUAAUUCGCUACAGUGUUACCAUUACUCUCGUCAAGGCUUCAUUCGAGUUGUACCAACCCAUUUGUUGGUGACGGUCAAGAUCUAAAUCUGUGCAAUGAAUUGCAUCUUUGCUAAGCGUAUUUUGCGAACAAACAUGAGAUGAGACAGUAGUGAAAGAGAAGCGGAGUGAGCGAGGACGAAAUAAUGCUCAGAUCUUUGAUAACAUUUGGUUUGGGCGUGUACACCGGUUUGUACAUAAGUCAAAAUUACGAGUUCUGUUCAUCAUGUCGAAGAAACAGUAUUUCAACAUUGAGUGAGAUGCAGAUGCUGUUUUAGAGAUGCUGCUGAAUGGAGAGGUGUCAGAUUUCGAUUUAUCAUCAGGUGAAUAAUCAGUUCCUGAUGUACAAUCCUACUGUACUUCAGGACAGAAAGAAGUGAGAGUGGGAGCUGACAAAAUAAACAGGGGAGAAACCAAUGGUUCCUCGAGUCGAUGAUCCAGCAAAAUUGUGGGAAAAAGUUAAAGAAUUUGCAGAUCAACAUAAAAAGCAAAAAUGAUCCAUUUGGCUUUAUGCGUGUGUAGAUCCCUAGCUGUCAUGCGCAAUUUACUGUAUUUAAAUGCUGCUGGUCGACUAGAAUAUGAAGAUUGAGGACUGUCUACCAUGAAAAGUCCAACAAUGAAAAAUGUUUAAUCGGAAAACUUCUUUUUUGUAAAUAUAUGUAACCAACAGUUUUGAAAUGUAAUGCCUUAAAGGAAAGGAGAGGGGGAGAAGACUGAAUUGCAGAGCAAACAUUUCUUGCCAACAGAAAGUUCACCUGCAGCCCAGGUCCUCCGAACACUUAGGAGAUUAUAUACAUAGGUGUAUUAACGGUUAUCUUUUAGUUAUCUGUUUUAAUAUUAUAUACAAAUUGAGGAUAAAUAUACACAGAAUUUUUACACAUUCAUGAGUGUUUAUGCAAGAUGUAUUCCUCCUCCUGAAUAUUCCAUCCGUAAUUGAGGUUCCACAAAAGCUAGCCAGUCAGAAGCAUGAGAUGGUAGCAGUCCCAUUGAGUGACACUUGUAAAGUGCCAGAGCAACACUUACUAUGUUUCCAAGUAGGUAUGCAAAUUUUUGCACCACUGCAUGAUCACCUUCAAUCAUUUUGAAUGCUGGCAACAGAAAACACAAGUUUAGUUCUUUGAUGAACAUGAAAUUUUGAUACAUUAACUUUAAAAUGAAGGCAAAUGGCUGACUGUGUAAUGCUCUGCACCAUUAAAGUAAAGGAUGAUCAUUUACUCACAUGCAGUCCAGCUGCAAUCUACUGAAUUUUGUUUUCAGAGAAAACUGGAGCUCUUAUGUACCUCAUUUUACAAAACUGCCUCUUUCACUGCAGACUAACUGAAUAAUUAGUUAUCAACUUGUUUACUGUGUAACAAAAUUAUCUUAGUGUAUAUCAUAAAUAUUGCGAUGACUAAUUUUGUUACUUCAAAGUUUCAAACAGUAAACUAUAAUUUGUACAUGAACAUUGGAAACAUGAGUGUAAACGUUAAAUAUGUUUAAAUAUGUAUUUCUUUAUUACUUAAUAGCUGUUGCGUGCAUCACUUAUUGCUGAGUGACAAACAUAAAAUUAGUAACUACUUUUAUUAUUCACUACUCCAGAGGAGAAACAUGGUCUUUGUUUUGAAAAUGUGUGUUUACAUUGCAUCAGUGUUCCAGCCAAAAGUUUCAGUUGGUCAAGCUAUAUAAUAAAGUUGUUUCACAAAUCUUUUUAGUUUAUCAUUUGUGCUAACCCUAACUUGGCUGUGUGUUAGCCUUGCAGCUCAAUGUGUACUCCUCUACAAGUUUUACAAAACUUCUUGCUGCACUCCAGUUAAUUUUAUGUUUUCCACUGGGUGAAAUACCAGUAAGUAUGGGUACGGGAACAGUGCAUGGAAAGCAGUGAGAACCUGACACAAUCAAAAUGGGGCGUAGUCCUAAUCCAAGGCCUGAAGAACAAAAUGCUAAUGAAUGCUGUUAAAAUUUUUUCCCUACCAACCAUUAGUUGUGUUUAUAAGAACAUUAUGUCAAUAUGGAAUGUUUCUGUUUCCAACUUUUGUUAUUAAAUUCACAAAAUUACUUUUUAAAAGUGCACCCACUAGGGUAAUUGUAAUAUAUGCAACUGAACAUCUUGAUCACUGCAUUAGUAGCCUUCAACAAAAUACAGAAUGUUUUGCUUUGUCCUGUCAGAGGUCUAACUAUGUGUCUACACAGUCAGUUGAAGAAUCAGAUGAACAUCACCCACGGGCAGAAUAACAGUAAUGAAUGUAAAAACUGUUUCACCAUUGGCAUAAAACUGGUUGUAGUUUCCUGCAAACUGAUCAAAAUAAAUGAUAUAUCUUGAAAC